GGAGACGUGGCCGAGUGGUCGAAGGCGCUCCCCUGCUAAGGGAGUAUACCGGGAACGGUAUCGAGGGUUCGAAUCCCUUCGUCUCCG
rfam:Sulfitobacter donghicola DSW-25 = KCTC 12864 = JCM 14565 contig9_scaffold9, whole genome shotgun sequence.